UUUUAACCAACUGAGCCGCCCAAGCACCCCUACCUAUUUUUUAAUUGGGUUAUUUAUUUGUUGUUCAGUUGUAGAAGUUCUUUAUAUGUACUGGAUAUCAACUCCAUCAGAUCUAUGAUUUGCAAAUAUUUUCUCCCAUUCCGUAAGUUGCUUUUUCAUUACAUGGAUUGCUUAUUUUGUUGUUGUUUGAUGUGCAGAAGUUUUUAACUUUGAUGUUGUCUUGUUUGUCUAUUUUUGCUUUUGUUGCCUGUGCUUUUGGCGUCAUAUAUAAGAAAUCAUUGCUAAUUACAAUAUCAUGAAGUUUUCCCCUGUGUUUUCUUCUCAGAGUCUUAUAAUUGUAGGUCUUCAAUUUAUGUCUUUGAUCCAUUGGAGUUGAUUUUUGUAUAUGGCUUAAGUGGCAGGAAGAAAGUUGCCAGAAGGUUGAGUGAGUCACCCACAGUCAUAAAGCCAGGAGGGCCUGUCCAAAGAAUGGAAGCCUAACCCCCUUCUGACAUGGUUAUCCAUGGUUCAGAACAUGAAGUCUCAUACAAAGCGAAUCCUGAUUUGAAUAAUAGCUUCAUGACACUCUGGUUAUAUUACCUCCUUUUCAACGUUUCACCUACCCUUCCUCAAAUCUUGCCUGAAGAUCUUUGCAAAGGCUGUUCCCUCUGCCUGGGAAAUGUCCUUCCUCCUUUUCUGGGUUACAUAAGACUGCAACUUACAUCUUGCUGAUCACCUUCUCACCUUAUAUGCUUUGAUGAAGCAAGCUCACAUGUUGGAAAAGCUCAAGGAAUUGAAUCCUGGCAACAACCACAUGAGUCUGGGAGUGGAUGCUUCACCCAGUCAACCUUCAGAUGAGAUCCCUGCCCUGGCCAACACCUUGAUUACAGCCUUGUGAGAGACCCUGAAGCUGAGUACUUAGCUAAGCAUGCCUCAGCUCCUAACCCUCAGAAACUAAGAGAUAAUAAAUGUGUGUAGUGUUAAGCCACUAAAUCUUGGGGAUAAUUUCUUACACAGCAAUAGGUAGCUAAUACAAAUAAGUGAAUAAGUCAGUAAGUGAAUGGAUUUGAAGUGAAGUGAAGUGAAGUGAAUGAAACUGAAGACCUCACUAAAGGAAGGGGAAACUAAGACCUGGUGGAGGUGAGGGGGUAGUGUAGAGAGAGUGGACUGAUACGCUCAAAGACAAUUGUCCAUGCUUCCUGUUUGAUUUUGUUUCUCUCAACCAUAGUAUCUAAAGGAGGCGUUUUGGGGGAAACUCUUCCAAAGUUUUUAGAAUCAGAAAUUCAACAGAGAACCUGAUGGAAAGGGUCGUGGUCAAGGGAAUAAAGGACCUAGAGGAAUAAGGACUGGAGACAAAAGAGCAAAAUGUUGCAUAUGAUUACCUUUGCAGCCCAAACAUGAAGGGUAAAGAAUAUUCAAAACUGAAUGAGACUGGCAAAAAGCACCCAAGAGAUCAGCUGAGAUGCUAACAGAAGGUCAGUCUUCGUUCCCAAACAGUGGGUGGAGAGACGGAGGCAUGGGCCCUCCUGGAAUUUUAUUUCCUCAAACAUUAGAAAUCACAUACUUGAAACCUAUAAAGCCAUCCUAUAUGUUUAAAUACAAAAGAAGAGGCGCCUGGGAGGCUCAGUCAGUUAAGCGUCUGACUUCGGCUCAGAUCAUGAUCUCACAGUUUGUGGGUGCAAGUCCCGUGUUGGGCUCUGUGC